GAUGAACGCUGACAGAAUGCUUAACACAUGCAAGUCUUUGGCGAAGCUGUGCUUGCACAGCCUAGCCAAGGUGGACGGGUGAGUAACGCGUAAUGAAUUUGCCCUGCAGUCAGGGAUAACAGACUGAAACGACUGAUAAGACCUGGUAAAGUCAGUCGGACUCAUGUCCAGCCUGAUGAAAAGAGAUGCUGCAGGAGAGCCUUGCGUCCUAUUAGCUUGUUGGUGGGGUAACGGCCCACCAAGGCGAUGAUAGGUAGCCGGCCUGAGAGGGUGGACGGCCACAAGGGGACUGUGAUACGGACCCUACUCCUCCGGGAGGCAGCGGUGGGGAAUAUGGGACAAUGGGGGCAAACCUGAACCAGCAAUUCGGUGUGCACGAUGAAGGUUUUCGGAUUGUAAAGUGCUUUCAGCAGGGAAGAAAAAAUGACGGUACCUGCAGAAGAAGCGACGGCUAAAUACGUG
rnacentral:rRNA from 1 species